CAGUCGCCGCGGGAAUACGUAGGGUGCAAGCGUUAAUCGGAAUUACUGGGCGUAAAGCGUGCGCAGGCGGUUCGUUAAGACAGAUGUGAAAUCCCCGGGCUUAACCUGGGAACUGCAUUUGUGACUGGCGGGCUAGAGUAUGGCAGAGGGGGGUAGAAUUCCACGUGUAGCAGUGAAAUGCGUAGAGAUGUGGAGGAAUACCGAUGGCGAAGGCAGCCCCCUGGGCCAAUACUGACGCUCAUGCACGAAAGCGUGGGGAGCAAACAGGAUUAGAUACCCGUGUAGUCCCUGUCUCUUAUAC
rnacentral:rRNA from 1 species